rnacentral:rRNA from 1 species
AUUGAACGCUGGCGGCAUGCCUUACACAUGCAAGUCGAACGGUAACGGGCCUUCGGGUGCCGACGAGUGGCGAACAGGUGAGUAAUACAUCGGAACGUGCCCGAUCGUGGGGGAUAACGAGGCGAAAGCUUUGCUAAUACCGCAUACGAUCUACGGAUGAAAGCAGGGGACCGCAAGGCCUUGCGCGGACGGAGCGGCCGAUGGCAGAUUGGGUAGUUGGUGGGAUAAAAGCUUACCAAGCCGACGAUCUGUAGCUGGUCUGAGAGGAUGAUCAGCCACACUGGGACUGAGACACGGCCCAGACUCCUACGGGAGGCAGCAGUGGGGAAUGUUGGACAAUGGGCGCAAGCCUGAUCCAGCCAUGCCGCGUGCAGGAUGAAGGCCUUCGGGUUGUAAACUGCUUUUGUACGGAACGAAAAGCCUUCUUUUAAUACAGGGGGGUCAUGACGGUACCGGAAGAAUAAGCACCGGCUAACUACGUG